rnacentral:misc_RNA from 1 species
AACGCAUAUUGCACUCUUUGGUAUUCCGAAGAGUAUGCUUGUUUGAGUAUCAGUAAACACCUCAAAACUCUCGAUUUGUUUCGAAUGGGUUUUGGAUUUGAGCAAACCCAACGCCUUUCUGCUUGUCAGAUUUGUGGCGGGUUGCUUGAAAUGCAGGUGCAGCUGGAAUUUCUUCUGAGCUAAUAGCAUACUUAAUUAGUCCCGUAAAAAGGAUUAUUAAUCUGCUGAAGCUUACUUAAAGGAAGAAUUCUUUGUUGACUGAUGCAGAAUUAAGCAGAGUCGGAAACGAUUCUGUAAAACUCGAUCUCAAAUCAAGUAAGACUACCCGCUGAACUUAA